rnacentral:rRNA from 1 species
GAGGAAUAUUGGUCAAUGGGCGAGAGCCUGAACCAGCCAAGUCGCGUGAGGGAAGAAUGGUCUAUGGCCUGUAAACUUCUUUUGUCAAGGAAGAAUAAGGAUGACGAGUCAUUCGAUGCCAGUACUUGACGAAUAAGCAUCGGCUAACUCCGUGCCAGCAGCCGCGGUAAUACGGGGGAUGCGAGCGUUAUCCGGAUUUAUUGGGUUUAAAGGGCGCGUAGGCGGGACGGCAAGUCAGCGGUAAAAGACUGCAGCUAAACUGUAGCACGCCGUUGAAACUGUUGACCUCGAGACGAGACGAGGGAGGCGGAACAAGUGAAGUAGCGGUGAAAUGCAUAGAUAUCACUUGGAACCCCGAUAGCGAAGGCAGCUUCCCAGGCUCGUUCUGACGCUGAUGCGCGAGAGCGUGGGUAGCGAACAGGAUUAGAUACCCUGGUAGUCCACGCCGUAAACGAUGCUCACUGGAUCUUGGCGAUACACGGCCAGGGUUCAAGCGAAAGUAUUAAGUGAGCCACCUGGGGAGUACGUCGGCAACGAUGAAACUCAAAGGAAUUGACGGGGGCCCGCACAAGCGGAGGAACAUGUGGUUUAAUUCGAUGAUACGCGAGGAACCUUACCCGGGUUUAAAUGUAGAUUGCAUGAGGUGGAAACACUUCUUCCCUUCGGGGCUAUUUACAAGGUGCUGCAUGGUUGUCGUCAGCUCGUGCCGUGAGGUGUCGGGUUAAGUCCCAUAACGAGCGCAACCCCUAUCGCCAGUUGCCAUCGGUUCAAGCCGGGCACUCUGUCGAGACUGCCACCGUAAGGUGCGAGGAAGGCGGGGAUGACGUCAAAUCAGCACGGCCCUUACACCCGGGGCAACACACGUGUUACAAUGGCCGGUACAGAGGGCAGCCACGGGGUGACCCGGAGCGAAUCUCUAAAGCCGGUCGUAGUUCGGACUGGAGUCUGCAACCCGACUCCACGAAGUUGGAUUCGCUAGUAAUCGCGCAUCAGCCAUGGCGCGGUGAAUACGUUCCCG